CUCGAUGAACUUUCCUAGGAUACUAUUAUAUGGAAGCACACGACUGAUGGGCACUACACCGCAGCCUUCGCCUAUAAGUCACAAUUUCUUGGUUUGGUCCUCUCUCCCAUGGAGAUCAUGAUUUGGAAGGUUUGGGUGCUGCCAAAGGCAAAGUUCUUUGCUUGGCUGGCUAUCCAAGAUAGAAUCUGGGCAGCCGACAGGCUUGCCAAGCAGGGAUGGCCAAACUGUGGUCUUUUCCCUCUUUGCAAAAGGGAGAAAGAGAGUGGGCCACACCUUUUCUUCAAGUGCCGAGAUUCCAUUCAGCUUUGGAAGAUGGUCAUUGAGAAAUUCCGUAUAGAACAUAUGGACACCUCCUUCUGGCAUCUAGAUGAUUCCGUCAAGAAUUGGUGGACAAAUCGAGCCGGCGCAGGAGUCCCCAACUGAAAAGCGAUGGCCUCGCUGACCCUGCUUGUGUCAUGUACCAUUUGGAACGAGAGAAAUGCCAAGGUUUUCCGGCAUAAGAGCGCCCCACCGCCAAUUUUUCUCACUACGAUCACUAAUGAGGCAAAUGUUUGGGUCAUGGCCAGAGCAAAGAAACUAGGAUCUAUUAUUUUGCGUGAGUAA
rnacentral:rRNA from 1 species